rnacentral:rRNA from 1 species
GACAGAGGUCCCGAGCGUUAGGCGGAAUCACUGGGCUUAAAGCGUGUGUAGGCGGAUUGGUAAGUACCUUGUGAAAUCCCACGGCUCAACCGUGGAACUGCUUGGUAUACUGCUUAUCUUGGGCCACUUAGGGGCUACCGGAACAAACGGUGGAGCGGUGAAAUGCGUAGAUAUCGUUUGGAACGCCAAUGGGGAAAACAGGUAGCUGGGAGUGUGCCGACGCUGAGACACGAAAGCCAGGGGAGCGAACGGG